rnacentral:rRNA from 1 species
CCUACGGGUGGCAGCAGUGAGGAAUAUUGGUCAAUGGACGAGAGUCUGAACCAGCCAAGUAGCGUGAAGGAUGACUGCCCUAUGGGUUGUAAACUUCUUUUAUAUGGGAAUAAAACGUUCCACGUGUGGGAUUUUGUAUGUACCAUAUGAAUAAGGAUCGGCUAAAUCCGUGCCAGCAGCCGCGGUAAUACGGAGGAUCCGAGCGUUAUCCGGAUUUAUUGGGUUUAAAGGGAGCGUAGGUGGAUUGUUAAGUCAGUUGUGAAAGUUUGCGGCUCAACCGUAAAAUUGCAGUUGAAAAUGGCAGUCUUGAGUACAGUAGAGGUGGGCGGAAUUCGUGGUGUAGCGGUGAAAUGCUUAGAUAUCACGAAGAACUCCGAUUGCGAAGGCAGUUCACUGGACUGCAACUGACACUGAGGCUCGAAAGUGUGGGUAUCAAACAGGAUUAGAUACCCCAGUAGUC